GACGAACGCUGGCGGCGUGCUUAACACAUGCAAGUCGAGCGGAAAGGCCACUUCGGUGGUACUCGAGCGGCGAACGGGUGAGUAACACGUGAGUAAUCUGCCCUUGGCUUCGGGAUAGCCACCGGAAACGGUGAUUAAUACCGGAUAUGACAAUGCUGCGCAUGUGGUGUUGUGGAAAGUUUUUCGGCCAGGGAUGUGCUCGCGGCCUAUCAGCUUGAUGGUGAGGUAAUGGCUCACCAUGGCUUCGACGGGUAGCCGGCCUGAGAGGGUGACCGGUCACACUGGGACUGAGACACGGCCCAGACUCCUACGGGAGGCAGCAGUGGGGAAUAUUGGACAAUGGGCGGAAGCCUGAUCCAGCAACGCCGCGUGAGGGAUGACGGCCUUCGGGUUGUAAACCUCUUUCAGUAGGGAAGAAGCGAAAGUGACGGUACCUGCAGAAGAAGCGCCGGCUAACUACGUGCCAGCAGCCGCGGUAAUACGUAGGGCGCAAGCGUUAUCCGGAAUUAUUGGGCGUAAAGAGCUCGUAGGCGGUUUGUCGCGUCUGCCGUGAAAGUCCGGGGCUCAACUCCGGAUCUGCGGU
rnacentral:rRNA from 1 species